UUCCCUGUGGCUCAGUUGGUAGAGCAUGGUGUGUGCAACACCAGGGUUGUGGGUUCAAUUCCCACAGGGGGCA
rnacentral:tRNA from 1 species